GAUGAACGCUGGCGGCGUGCCUAAUACAUGCAAGUCGAGCGAACGGAUGAGAAGCUUGCUUCUCUGAUGUUAGCGGCGGACGGGUGAGUAACACGUGGCUAACCUACCUAUAAGACUGGGAUAACUUCGGGAAACCGGAGCUCAUACCGGAUAAUAUUUUGAACCGCAUGGUUCAAAAGUGAAAGACGGUCUUGCUGUCACUUAUACAUGGAUCCGCGCUGCAUUAGCUAGUUGGUAAGGUAACGGCUUACCAAGGCAACGAUGCAUAGCCGACCUGAGAGGGUGAUCGGCCACACUGGAACUGAGACACGGGCCAGACUCCUACGGGAGGCAGCAGUAGGGAAUCGUCCGCAAUGGGCGGAAGCCUGAAGGAGCAGCGCCGCGUGAGUGAUGAAGGUCUUCGGAUCGUAAAACUCUGUUAUUAGGGAAGAACAUAUGUGUAAGUAACUGUGCACAUCUGGACGGUACCUAAUCAGAAAGCCACGGCUAACUGCGGG
rnacentral:rRNA from 1 species